AUUGAACGCUGGCGGCAUGCCUUACACAUGCAAGUCGAACGGUAACAGGUCUUCGGAUGCUGACGAGUGGCGAACGGGUGAGUAAUACAUCGGAACGUGCCCGAGAGUGGGGGAUAACGGAGCGAAAGCUUUGCUAAUACCGCAUACGAUCUACGGAUGAAAGCAGGGGACCGCAAGGCCUUGCGCUCAUGGAGCGGCCGAUGGCAGAUUAGGUAGUUGGUGGGAUAAAAGCUUACCAAGCCGACGAUCUGUGGCUGGUCUGAGAGGACGACCAGCCACACUGGGACUGAGACACGGCCCAGACUCCUACGGGAGGCAGCAGUGGGGAAUUUUGGACAAUGGGCGCAAGCCUGAUCCAGCCAUGCCGCGUGCAGGAUGAAGGCCUUCGGGUUGUAAACUGCUUUUGUACGGAACGAAAAGCCUCUUUCGAAUAAAGAGAGGUCAUGACGGUACCGUAAGAAUAAGCACCGGCUAACUACGUGCCAGUAGCCGCCGUAA
rnacentral:rRNA from 1 species